rnacentral:rRNA from 1 species
GGAAUAGUCACGGCUAACUACGUGCCAGCAGCCGCGGUAAUACGUAGGUGGCAAGCGUUAUCCGGAUUCACUGGGCGUAAAGCGCGUGCAGGCGGUUUCGUAAGUCGGACGUGAAAGCUCCUGGCUUAACUGGGAGAGGUCGUUCGAUACUGCGGGGCUUGAGGUCGGGAGAGGGACGUGGAAUUCCCGGUGUAGUGGUGGAAUGCGUAGAUAUCGGGAGGAACACCAGUGGCGAAGGCGACGUCCUGGCCCGCACCUGACGCUGAGACGCGAAAGCGUGGGUAGCGAACGGGAUUAGAUACCCCGGUAGUCCACGCUGUAAACGGUGGGUACUAGGUGUUGGUGGCUAUCGUCAUCAGUGCCGUAGCUAACGCGUUAAGUACCCCGCCUGGGGACUACGGCCGCAAGGCUAAAACUCAAAGGAAUUGACGGGGGCCCGCACAAGCAGCGGAGCGUGUGGUUUAAUUCGAGGCAACACGAAGAACCUUACCUGGGCUUGACAUGCACGUAGUAGUGAAGCGAAAGCGGAUCGAUCCUUCGGGAAGCGUGCACAGGUGCUGCAUGGCUGUCGUCAGCUCGUGCCGUGAGGUGUUCGGUUAAGUCCGGUAACGAGCGCAACCCUUGCUGUUAGUUACAAGUGUCUAACAGGACUGCCGGUUCAAUGCCGGAGGAAGGUGGGGAUGACGUCAAGUCAGCAUGGCCUCUAUGUCCAGGGCUACACACACGCUACAAUGGCCGGUACAAUGGGUUGCCAAGCCGCGAGGCGGAGCUAAUCCUAAAAGGCCGGUCUCAGUUCGGAUUGCAGGCUGCAACUCGCCUGCAUGAAGUCGGAGUUGCUAGUAACCGCAGGUCAGCUAUACUGCGGUGAAUACGUUCCCGGGCCUUGCACACACCGCCCGU